AAUUUGACCGUGCAAAGGUAGCAUAAUCAAUAGUCUUUUAAUUGGAGGCUUGAAUGAAAGGUUGGACAGAUAGAAAGCUGUCUUGAUAUUUUAUAUUGAAUUUAACAUUUGUGUGAAAAGGCAUAGAUAAUUUGGGGGGACGAUAAGACCCUAUAAAAUUUAACAUAUAUGAAUUAUUUUUUUUAAAAGUUAAUUAAUUUAUAAAGUGAUUUAAGGUGUUUUGCUGGGGCGGCAUUGAUAUAAUUUUGUAACUGUCAUUAUAAUUUAAUAUAGAUUUAUAGGUUAUGGUCCUUUAUUAAGGAGUAAAGAUUAA
rnacentral:rRNA from 1 species